CCCUUAGAUGUUCUGGGCCGCACGCGCGCUACACUGACGAAUGCAACGAGCUUAUAACCUUGGCCGAAAGGUCUGGGUAAUCUCCAAAUUUCGUCGUGAUGGGGAUAGAUUAUUGCAAUUAUUAAUCUUCAACGAGGAAUGCCUAGUAAGCGCAAGUCAUCAGCUUGCGUUGAUUACGUCCCUGCCCUUUGUACACACCGCCCGUCGCUCCUGCCGAUUGAAUGGUCCGGUGAAGCGUUCGGACCGUGGCCUUUGGACGGUUCGCCGUCUGUUGGCUGCGGGAAGUUCGUUAAACCUUNUNAUUUAGNGGAAGGAGAANUCGUANCA
rnacentral:rRNA from 1 species